GUUUAAAACAGUUUGCUUUAAAAACACACAUGAUUAGGCAACUACAUCGGCGUAGCGCGUGCUUGUGAUGUCAUUUCGUCAUCAGCAGCGGACAUCUUGGGAUUUGUCGCGACAUUUAGCGCUCUUCAAUUUUCGCGCUCAACUCCUGCACGCUAGAAGUUGGCAACACUGCGGUUACUAGAGAAGAGGACAUCAAAAGAGUGAGAGUGAGAGUGAGGCGAGUUGAGGUAUGUCCAAACAGUGAGGUGCAUGCUGUUCUGUCAAAGUAUCAAGAGGGAAAUUCUCUGGUCCUGUGCAUCCUGCAACUCUUAAUGGCCCAUUUUAAAGAGAGAACAGAAUCCCUUCUAAUUGAAGCUGAUGUAGCAGCAACUGCAACCGACAUGGAAAGAAAUGGAUUACCGGAUUCACACGCACUGAUCUUUCAAGGUGAAUCCAUGACCCCAAGCAAGUGGAUGUUGUCAGUCGAAAGGGAAGUUGUCAUUGGCCCAUGUUCAGAGGCAUUUGUUGAGGGCCUGGCAGCAUAGUUUGCAACCUAUUACAACUUAAACCUUGCUUAUCAGGAUGAAGCUGCAUGCACCCUCGAAAUUAUUCAGAGGUAUGUCAGAACAUAAACUCUU
rnacentral:lncRNA from 1 species